rnacentral:lncRNA from 1 species
UGACGCUGCCACAAAUUAAUGUUCAUGUCCAUUCUAGUAUUCUAUGAAGAGUGUCUUCUUUCAACUAAAAUAACACAAGGACCUGAGCCCUAGGACCAUGCCUCAGGACUACCUGGCAUGAUGACUGCUUGCUGUCCCCAGUCCACCUGGCCGUGCUGCUGCUCCAGUUUCAACUGUUCUGCCUGCGGCUAUGGAACCCUGACCUGUUCACCGGACGUGCUUGUUGCACCCUCGACAACUACUAUGAUUAUUAUUAUUUGACCAUGCUGGUCAUUUAUGAACAUUUUAACAUCUUGACCAUGUUCUGUUAUAAUAUCCACCCGGCACAGCCAGAAGAGGACUGGCCACCCCUCAUAGCCUGGUUCCUCUCUAGGUUUCUUCCUAGGUUUUUGGCCUUUCUAGGGAGUUUUUCCUAGGGAGUUUUUCCUAGCCACCGUGCUUCUUUCACAUGCAUUGCUUGCUGUUUGGGGUUUUAGGCUGGGUUUCUGUACAGCACUUUGAGAUAUCAGCUGAUGUACGAAGGGCUAUAUAAAUACAUUUGAUUUGAUUUGAUUUUGAUUUGGUCAUUUAUGAGGAGAAUCAUUAUAACAGUUGAUAAUAUAAAAAAAGAAGACAUCUAGGCUAAUUAAAAUGGGUCGGAUGCAGACCAAGCAGUUACAGUUUGAACCCGAUGCAUGGCCCAACAAUUGGCCGUGUCAUCACACAGUUCCAUGAUUAAUGCAGGCAGGAGAUGAGGGUACAGCCUACUAUUGUACACUAUUCUGCCUAUUACAAUUCUAUGUACACUAAUCUGUACUCUAGACAUUACCAUGGGUUGGAAACAAGGUUUUCCAUCCAUUCCCAUCCCCCCUAGCAACCAGGGAUGCU